rnacentral:rRNA from 1 species
GACGAACGCUGGCGGCGUGCCUAAUACAUGCAAGUAGAACGCACAGUUUAUACCGUAGCUUGCUACACCAUAAACUGUGAGUUGCGAACGGGUGAGUAACGCGUAGGUAACCUGCCUGGUAGCGGGGGAUAACUAUUGGAAACGAUAGCUAAUACCGCAUAAUAUUAAUUAUUGCAUGAUAAUUGAUUGAAAGAUGCAAUUGCAUCACUACCAGAUGGCCCUGCGUUGUAUUAGCUAGUAGGUGAGGUAACGGCUCACCUAGGCGAGGAUACAUAGCCGAACGGAGAGGGUGGUCGGCCGCACUGGGACGGAGACACGGCCCAGACUCCUAGGGGAGGCAGCAGUAGGGAAUCGUGGGCAAUGGACGAAAGUCUGACCGAGCAACGCCGCGUGAGUGAAGAAGGUUUUCGGAUCGUAAAGCUCGGUUGUAAGAGAAGAACGGGUGUGAGAGUGGAAAGUUCACACUGUGACGGUAUCUGACCAGAAAGGGACGGCUAACUACGUG